rnacentral:rRNA from 1 species
CCUACGGGUGGCAGCAGUGGGGAAUAUUGCACAAUGGGGGAAACGCUGAUGCAGCGACGCCGCGUGAGUGAAGAAGUACUUCGGUAUGUAAAGCUCUAUCAGCAGGGAAGAAAAUGACGGUACGUGAGUAAGAAGCCCCGUCUAACUACGUGCCAGCAGCCGCGGUAAUACGUAGGGGGCAAGCGUUAUCCGGAUUUACUGGGUGUAAAGGGAGCGUAGACGGGAGUGCAAGUCUGCAGUGAAAGGCGGGGGCUCAACCCUCGGACUGCUCUGGAAACUGUACGGCUGGAGUGCAGGAGAGGUAAGUGGAAUUCCUAGUGUAGCGGUGAAAUGCGUAGAUAUUAGGAGGAACCCCAGUGGCGAAGGCGGCUUACUGGACUGUAACUGACGUUGAGGCUCGAAAGCGUGGGGAGCAAACAGGAUUAGAUACCCUAGUAGUC